rnacentral:rRNA from 1 species
ACUCAAAUGAAUAGACGGGCACCCGCACAAGCGGUGGAGCAUGCUGUUUAAUUCGAAAAUACGCGAAGAACCUUACCUAGGUUUGAUCCCCGGCAAUGCUAUGGAAACAUAGCGGAGGUUACCCGGGUGACAGAUGGUGCAUGGUUGUCGUCAGCUCGUGUCGUGAGAUGUUUGGUUAAGUCCAAUAACGAGCGCAACCCUCGUCUUUAGUUGCUAACAUUUAGUUGAGAACUCUAAAGACACUGCCAGUGUAAGCUGGAGGAAGGUGGGGAUGAGGUCAAAUCAUCAUGCCUCUUACAUCUAGGGCUACAGGCGUGCUACAAUGGCCGGUACAACGAGUCGCAACACGGUAACGUGGAGCUAAUCUCUUAAAGCCGGUCCCAGUCCGGAUUGUGGUCUGCAACUCGACCACAUGAAGUUGGAAUCGCUAGUAAUCCCGAAUCAGAAUGUCGGGGUGAAUACGUUCUCGGGUGUUGCACACACCGCCCGU